GGUUGUCGGAUGGUUUAUUAUUUUUAUGUGAAAGGGGCUUUAGGUACUCUUAAACCAGGAAUAUAAGGAAAUAUGAAAAAUUAUAUUCUCUAUUCCAAACCUCUGAUUUUAGAUAUCAUUUUUAUGCUCUUAUCUGAUUACAAAGGCAGUAGAGAUUCGUGUUAACAGAUUUGGAAGCUACUGAGGAGCACAAAGAAGAAGAAAAGGAAAUCGCUUGUAAUGAACUCUGCAGAGGCUAGUGAUGUUCACGUUCUACUUUCCUCAAGUUCUUUCUAUAAUUAUGUAUACUCACUUAAAAAAAGCAAGGCUCCUUCCUUCCCUCCUCCUCUCGUUAAUUCAUCUACUGGACAGACAUUGAUUGAAAGCUAGGUACUCUCCUCUCAUUGAAUCCUGCUUCUUUUUUUACUUACCAAUACGUAAUAAAGCUUUCUUAUAUCAUUAAGUAUUCACUGACAUCAUUAAAAAAUUGAAUAACAAUAAGACCAA